rnacentral:rRNA from 1 species
UACGGAGGGUCCAAGCGUUAUCCGGAAUCAUUGGGUUUAAAGGGUCCGUAGGCGGGGUAAUAAGUCAGUGGUGAAAGUCUGCAGCUUAACUGUAGAAUUGCCAUUGAUACUGUUGUCCUUGAAUUAUUAUGAAGUGGUUGGAAUGAGUAGUGUAGCGGUGAAAUGCAUAGAUAUUACUCAGAACACCUAUUGCGAAGGCAGAUCACUAAUAAUAUAUUGACGCUGAGGGACGAAAGCGUAGGUAGCGAACAGG